UACGUAGGAUGCAAGCGUUGUCCGGAAUUAUUGGGCGUAAAGAGCGCGCAGGCGGCCUUUCAAGUCAGAUGUGAAAUAACCAGGCUUAACCUGGUGGGGUCAUUUGAAACUGGGGGGCUAGAGUACAGCAGAGGAUAGCGGAAUUCCCGGUGUAGUGGUGAAAUGCGUAGAUAUCGGGAGGAACACCAGUGGCGAAGGCGGCUAUCUGGGCUGCAACUGACGCUGAGGCGCGAAGGCUAGGGGAGCAAACAGG
rnacentral:rRNA from 1 species